GCCAACUUAGCUCAGCUGGUAGAGCAGCUGAUUCGUAAUCAGCAGGUCGGGAGUUCAAGUCUCCCAGUUGGCUCCA
rnacentral:tRNA from 1 species